GGCUCAGGAUGAACGCUAGCGGCAGGCCUAAUACAUGCAAGUCGAGGGCAGCACAGGUAGCAAUACUGGGUGGCGACCGGCAAACGGGUGCGGAACACGUACGCAACCUUCCUUUAAGUGGGGAAUAGCCCAGAGAAAAUUUGGAUUAAUACCCCGUAACAUCGUGGUGAGGCAUCUCACUACGAUUAAAGCUGAGGCGCUUAAAGAUGGGCGUGCGUCUGAUUAGGUAGUUGGUGAGGUAACGGCUCACCAAGCCGACGAUCAGUAACUGGCGUGAGAGCGCGACCAGUCACACUGGAACUGAGACACGGUCCAGACUCCUACGGGAGGCAGCAGUGAGGAAUAUUGGUCAAUGGCCGGAAGGCUGAACCAGCCAAGUAGCGUGAAGGAUGAAGGUUCUAUGGAUUGUAAACUUCUUUUAUACGGGAAUAAACCACCUACGUGUAGGUGCUUGUAUGUACCGUAUGAAUAAGCAUCGGCUAACUCCGUG
rnacentral:rRNA from 1 species